rnacentral:misc_RNA from 1 species
UUUCACUUGAUUACCAUAUGAUUUUAAAUUUUUAAUUGCAGGCUUUUCAUAAAUCUCAUUUAUUGAAACUUCGGGUUGCUCCUUCAGAGACUGCAAUGAGUGAUGUUCUCCGUGAGGUUUUAAUCAUGAAAAUGCUAGACCAUCCUAAUAUUGUCAAUCUCAUUGAGGUGAUUGAUGACCCAAACACAGAUCACUUCUACAUGGUUCUUGAAUAUGUAGAUGGAAAAUGGGUUUGGGAAGGUUCUGGUCCUCCUGGUGGAAUUGGAGAAAAUACUGCGUACUGCUAGAAAGUACUUGCGGGAUAUUGUAUCUGGACUAAUGUAUCUCCAUGCGCAUAAUAUAGUGCAUGGUGAUAUUAAACCUGAUAACCUGUUGGUUACUCGUUCGGGUACACUAAAAUCUCCAAUCUUCAUGUUAGCCAAGUAUUUGAGGAUGAUAAUGAUGAGCUUCGCCGAUCUCCUGGGAUGCCUGUUUUCACAGCACCUGAGUGCUGUCU